GUUCCGUUGGUGUAGUUGGUUAUCACGCGUGUCUCACACACACGAGGUCUUCGGUUCGAUUCCGAGACCUCAAA